CCCUUAGAUGUUCUGGGCUGCACGCGUGCUACAAUGGCGUUUCCAGCCAGUCUGCGAACCCGAGAGGGCCAGCGGAUCUUCGAAUUGGCGUCGUGAUCGGGACAGUCGAUUGCAAUUAUUUGACUCAAACGAGGAAUUCCUUGUAAUCGCGAUUCAUCAUAUCGCGCUGAAUACGUCCCUGCCCUUUGUACACACCGCCCGUCGCUCCUACCGAUUGAGCGAUCCGGUAAAUGUUUUGGAUUGGUGCCGGGGCGGCUAGCUGCCGGUCGCUACGAAAUUUUGUGAACCUUAUCGCUUAGAGGAAGGAAAAGUCGUAACA
rnacentral:rRNA from 1 species